rnacentral:lncRNA from 1 species
GUUGAGACACAGUGGGCUUGAGGGAUGUGUCUUUGUAGCUACUAAUGUAGUGUUUUGCUAUCAGCAAACACUCAUUAAUCAGCUGCAUAGAAUUUUCUGAUGGUGAGAAUGAUGUUGGUAGAAAGCCCUGAUUUUGAUGUUCAGCCCCUUUCUCCUGUACAAUUUUGUGAUGAUAGGAGGAGCCAAGAAGCAGAUGAUGAAACAGCCUGUUUAAGAUUCUGAGAGAUUGAGUGUUGAUACAACCUGGAAUGUGAAGAAAUUCUGCCAACAUAUGGGUUUGGACAGAGGCAGUGGGGACUGCAAAAGGCAUGCCGUAAGAGGAGUCGAGUGGGUGCUGUAACAUCAAAGUCCCUUUUCCCCCAGUAGUGGGAAGAGAGCAAGCACAAGGUCUGGAGAAGAUAUACUUCCCCCAACAGCCCACUCUGCUGAUGAAGAGCUGGUGAUUCACACUUGGAUGGCCUUCCACUCCUACCCUUUCCCUAACAACACAAAGCCUGACUCAAUCCUGAACCUUGCUAACAAAACAGAUUUGCUCUUUUUUCGUCUUAGCAGCUUUGGAGUCUAAAGACGGACUCUGUGGGAAGGCAGAUCCUUAGUUACCUCCUCCCCAAGCUGUUGCAGGAAUUUCAGAUCUCUGCUUGCUAAAGCACGC